GGACGAGCCUCUGGAGAGUCUCAGUAAUGAGCGCCGAAGGAGAAAACCGGCCAAGGGUCGGUGAAACUCUCAGGUACAAGGGACAGAGUGGAAAAG
rnacentral:ncRNA from 2 species